UAAGAUUGGGCCACAUGUGAUGCAAUUGUCUUUUUAUUCGUCCGAUUCCACUUUGAACGCUAUUUCUGUGUAUGCUCGGAUUUUUCUAAGCAGUUACUUCUGUCAUAAGUUAUUGUCUUGAUUUUUACUUUUAAUAUGAAACGUAUUUAACUGGAAAACAGUCUUGUGUGCACUCUGCAGUCUUUAUUAGUGAGAUGACUUCCUCUACUUAUGAAAGUAAUGACUUGGAUGAUGGUGAAGGCUUGAUUUCACGUAAAUAUGAAGAGAUAGAUGUUUCUAACAGAGAAAGUGAUGACUGUUGAUAGCCCUUUGAAAAAUCUACUUGUGGCGAAAAUUCUUCCACGAAGAACAAAAAAUCAUCUCCAUAUUCAGUUAUGUUCCACCAAUCAUAAAGUACUUUAGAAAGGAAGAAGUGUCCUCUAAAUCUACGAAGUAAAAAUGCCUCAUAGUUUGCCAGAACGAAGCGGUGACAGUCUUCAACAAAAUUUUGUUUGGUGCUAGAAGACAUGUUAAAGUAUGUCUCAAGUUUAAAAAAACUGCACUUUUGUGCCUUGUGUGAAUUUCAAAUUUAUUCACUGUAUCUUUUGUCUUAAUAAACAAUUAAAAGUUA